rnacentral:rRNA from 1 species
GAGUUUGAUCCUGGCUCAGGAUGAACGCUGGCGGCGUGCCUAACACAUGCAAGUCGAGCGAUUCUCUUCGGAGAAGAGCGGCGGACGGGUGAGUAACGCGUGGGUAACCUGCCCUGUACACACGGAUAACAUACCGAAAGGUAUGCUAAUACGAGAUGAUAUAUGAAAGUUGCAUGACUUUUAUAUCAAAGCUUUUGCGGUACAGGAUGGACCCGCGUCUGAUUAGCUAGUUGGUAAGGUAACGGCUUACCAAGGCGACGAUCAGUAGCCGACCUGAGAGGGUGAUCGGCCACACUGGAACUGAGACACGGUCCAGACUCCUACGGGAGGCAGCAGUGGGGAAUAUUGCACAAUGGGCGAAAGCCUGAUGCAGCAACGCCGCGUGAGCGAUGAAGGCCUUCGGGUCGUAAAGCUCUGUCCUCAAGGAAGAUAAUGACGGUACUUGAGGAGGAAGCCCCGGCUAACUACGUGCCAGCAGCCGCGGUAAUACGUAGGGGGCUAGCGUUAUCCGGAAUUACUGGGCGUAAAGGGUGCGUAGGCGGUCUUUCAAGCCAGAAGUGAAAGGCUACGGCUCAACCGUAGUAAGCUUUUGGAACUGUAGGACUUGAGUGCAGGAGAGGAGAGUGGAAUUCCUAGUGUAGCGGUGAAAUGCGUAGAUAUUAGGAGGAACACCAGUAGCGAAGGCGGCUCUCUGGACUGUAACUGACGCUGAGGCACGAAAGCGUGGGGAGCAAACAGGAUUAGAUACCCUGGUAGUCCACGCCGUAAACGAUGAGUACUAGGUGUCGGGGGUUACCCCCCUCGGUGCCGCAGCUAACGCAUUAAGUACUCCGCCUGGGAAGUACGCUCGCAAGAGUGAAGCUCAAAGGAAUUGACGGGGACCCGCACAAGUAGCGGAGCAUGUGGUUUAAUUCGAAGCAACGCGAAGAACCUUACCUAAGCUUGACAUCCCAUUGACCUCUCCCUAAUCGGAGAUUUCCCUUCGGGGACAGUGGUGACAGGUGGUGCAUGGUUGUCGUCAGCUCGUGUCGUGAGAUGUUGGGUUAAGUCCCGCAACGAGCGCAACCCUUGCCUUUAGUUGCCAGCAUUAAGUUGGGCACUCUAGAGGGACUGCCGAGGAUAACUCGGAGGAAGGUGGGGAUGACGUCAAAUCAUCAUGCCCCUUAUGCUUAGGGCUACACACGUGCUACAAUGGGUGGUACAGAGGGUUGCCAAACCGUGAGGUGGAGCUAAUCCCUUAAAGCCAUUCUCAGUUCGGAUUGUAGGCUGAAACUCGCCUACAUGAAGCUGGAGUUACUAGUAAUCGCAGAUCAGAAUGCUGCGGUGAAUGCGUUCCCGGGUCUUGUACACACCGCCCGUCACACCAUGGGAGUUGGGGGCGCCCGAAGCCGGUUAGCUAACCUUUUGGAAGCGGCCGUCGAAGGUGAAACCAAUGACUGGGGUGAAGUCGUAACAAGGUAGCCG